GUCAGUGUGGUGUAGUUGGUUAUCACGUACGCCUCACACGCGUAAGGUCUACGGUUUGAGCCCGGACAUUGACA
rnacentral:tRNA from 1 species